CGGGAGGCAGCAGUGGGGAAUAUUGCACAAUGGGCGCAAGCCUGAUGCAGCCAUGCCGCGUGUGUGAAGAAGGCCUUCGGGUUGUAAAGCACUUUUGUCAGGGAAGAAAUCGUUCGGGCUAAUACCUCGGGCAGUUGACGGUACCUGAAGAAUAAGCACCGGCUAACUACGUGCCAGCAGCCGCGGUAAUACGUAGGGUGCAAGCGUUAAUCGGAAUUACUGGGCGUAAAGCGUGCGCAGGCGGUUGUGCAAGACAGAUGUGAAAUCCCCGGGCUCAACCUGGGAACUGCGCUUAAGACUGGAGAGCUAGAAAACGGAAGAGGGUAGUGGAAUUCCCAGUGUAGAGGUGAAAUUCGUAGAUAUUGGGAAGAACACCAGUGGCGAAAGCGGCUACCUGG
rnacentral:rRNA from 1 species